rnacentral:rRNA from 1 species
GAUGAACGCUGACCGAAUGCUUAACACAUGCAAGUCGAUGGGGAAGUGGUGCUUGCACCAUCGCAACCAUGGCGGACGGGUGAGUAACGCGUAAGGGACUUACCUGCAGGACUGGGAUAACAGGGGGAAACUCCUGACAAGACCGGAUAAUGUCAUGGAGCUGCAUGGCUUUAUGAUGAAAGGAGACGCCUGCGGAGAGCCUUGCGUCCUAUUAGCUAGUUGGUGAGGUAAUGGCUCACCAAGGCGAAGAUAGGUAGCCGGCCUGAGAGGGUGGACGGCCACAAGGGGACUGAGAUACGGCCCUUACUCCUACGGGAGGCAGCAGUGGGGAAUAUUGGACAAUGGGGGCAACCCUGAUCCAGCAAUGCGGUGUGCACGAAGAAGGUUUUCGGAUUGUAAAGUGCUUUCAGCAGGGAAGAAGUAAGUGACGGUACCUGCAGAAGAAGCGACGGCUAAAUACGU